rnacentral:rRNA from 1 species
GAUGAACGCUAGCAGCAGGCCUAAUACAUGCAAGUCGAACGGUGUCUUCGGACAUAGUGGCGCACGGGUGCGUAACACGUAUGCAACCUACCUUACAUUGGGGGAUAGCCUUUCGAAAGGGAGAUUAAUACCGCAUAAGACAGUAGCUGGGCAUCCAGCAGCUGUUAAAGAUUUAUCGAUGUAAGCUGGGCAUGCGUCCAAUUAGCUAGUUGGUGAGGUAACGGCUCACCAAGGCAAUGAUUGGUAGGGGAACUGAGAGGUCAAUCCCCCACACUGGCACUGAGAUACGGGCCAGACUCCUACGGGAGGCAGCAGUAGGGAAUAUUGGGCAAUGGACGCAAGUCUGACCCAGCCAUGCCGCGUGCAGGAUGGAGGCGUUAUGCGUUGUAAACUGCUUUUAUACAGGAAGAAACGACUCUUGCGAGAGGCAUUGACGGUACUGUAUGAAUAAGCACCGGCUAACUCCGUGCCAGCAGCCGCCGUAAAAC